GAGCGGGGAAGGGUAGCUUGCUACCUGACCUAGCGGCGGACGGGUGAGUAAUGCUUAGGAAUCUGCCUAUUAGUGGGGGACAACAUUCCGAAAGGAAUGCUAAUACCGCAUACGCCCUACGGGGGAAAGCAGGGGAUCUUCGGACCUUGCGCUAAUAGAUGAGCCUAAGUCAGAUUAGCUAGUUGGUGGGGUAAAGGCCUACCAAGGCGACGAUCUGUAGCGGGUCUGAGAGGAUGAUCCGCCACACUGGGACUGAGACACGGCCCAGACUCCUACGGGAGGCAGCAGUGGGGAAUAUUGGACAAUGGGCGAAAGCCUGAUCCAGCCAUGCCGCGUGUGUGAAGAAGGCCUUUUGGUUGUAAAGCACUUUAAGCGAGGAGGAGGCUACCGAGAUUAAUACUCUUGGAUAGUGGACGUUACUCGCAGAAUAAGCACCGGCUAACUCUGUGCCAGCAGCCGCGGUAAUACAGAGGGUGCGAGCGUUAAUCGGAUUUACUGGGCGUAAAGCGUGCGUAGGCGGCUUUUUAAGUCGGAUGUGAAAUCCCUGAGCUUAACUUAGGAAUUGCAUUCGAUACUGGGAAGCUAGAGUAUGGGAGAGGAUGGUAGAAUUCCAGGUGUAGCGGUGAAAUGCGUAGAGAUCUGGAGGAAUACCGAUGGCGAAGGCAGCCAUCUGGCCUAAUACUGACGCUGAGGUACGAAAGCAUGGGGAGCAAACAGGAUUAGAUACCCUGGUAGUCCAUGCCGUAAACGAUGUCUACUAGCCGUUGGGGCCUUUGAGGCUUUAGUGGCGCAGCUAACGCGAUAAGUAGACCGCCUGGGGAGUACGGUCGCAAGACUAAAACUCAAAUGAAUUGACGGGGGCCCGCACAAGCGGUGGAGCAUGUGGUUUAAUUCGAUGCAACGCGAAGAACCUUACCUGGUCUUGACAUAGUAAGAACUUUCCAGAGAUGGAUUGGUGCCUUCGGGAACUUACAUACAGGUGCUGCAAUGGCUGUCUCAGCUCGUGUCGUGAGAUGUUGGGUUAAGUCCCGCAACGAGCGCAACCCUUUUCCUUAUUUGCCAGCGGGUUAAGCCGGGAACUUUAAGGAUACUGCCAGUGACAAACUGGAGGAAGGCGGGGACGACGUCAAGUCAUCAUGGCCCUUACGACCAGGGCUACACACGUGCUACAAUGGUCGGUACAAAGGGUUGCUACCUAGCGAUAGGAUGCUAAUCUCAAAAAGCCGAUCGUAGUCCGGAUUGGAGUCUGCAACUCGACUCCAUGAAGUCGGAAUCGCUAGUAAUCGCGGAUCAGAAUGCCGCGGUGAAUACGUUCCCGGGCCUUGUACACACCGCCCGUCACACCAUGGGAAUUUGUUGCACCAGAAGUAGGUAGUCUAACCGCAAGGAG
rnacentral:rRNA from 1 species